rnacentral:rRNA from 1 species
CAGCCGCCGCGGGAACACGGAGGGAGCUAGCGUUGUUCGGAAUUACUGGGCGUAAAGCGCGCGUAGGCGGUUACUCAAGUCAGAGGUGAAAGCCCGGGGCUCAACCCCGGAACUGCCUUUGAAACUAGGUGACUAGAAUCUUGGAGAGGUCAGUGGAAUUCCGAGUGUAGAGGUGAAAUUCGUAGAUAUUCGGAAGAACACCAGUGGCGAAGGCGACUGACUGGACAAGUAUUGACGCUGAGGUGCGAAAGCGUGGGGAGCAAACAGGAUUAGAUACCCCGGUAGUCCCUGUCUCUUAUAC